GGUGAACGCUGGCGGCGUGCCUAAGACAUGCAAGUCGAGCGGGCCGCGGGGUUUUACUCCGUGGUCAGCGGCGGACGGGUGAGUAACGCGUGGGUGACCUACCCGGAAGAGGGGGACAACCCGGGGAAACUCGGGCUAAUCCCCCAUGUGGACCCGCCCCUUGGGGUGUGUCCAAAGGGCUUUGCCCGCUUCCGGAUGGGCCCGCGUCCCAUCAGCUAGUUGGUGGGGUAAUGGCCCACCAAGGCGACGACGGGUAGCCGGCCUGAGAGGGUGGCCGGCCAAAGGGGCACUGAGACACGGGCCCCACGCCUACGGGAGGCAGCAGUGAGGAAUCUUCCGCAAUGGGCGCAAGCCUGACGGAGCGACGCCGCUGGGAGGAAGAAGCCCUUCGGGGUGUAAACUCCUGAACCCGGGACGAAACCCCCGACGAGGGGACUGACGGUACCGGGGUAAUAGCGCCGGCCAACUCCGUG
rnacentral:rRNA from 1 species